rnacentral:rRNA from 1 species
GACGAACGCUGGCGGCGUGCUUAAUACAUGCAAGUCGAACGGAAAGGCCCCCUUGUGGGGUAUCUGAGUGGCGAACGGGAGAGUAACAUGUGAGUAACCUACCCUUGACUUUGGGAUAACAUCAGGAAACUGGGGCUAAUAUCGGACCGGAGCUUCUGUUGCACGGCGGGGGUCGGUAAGUUUCGGCGGUUGGGGAUGGACUUGUAGCUUAUUAGCUUGUUGGUGAGGUAGUGGCUCACCAAGGCUCUGACGGGUAGCCGGCCUUGGAGGGUGACCGGCCUCAUUGGUACUAAGAUACGGCCCAGACGCCUACGGUAGGCAGCGGUGGGGAAUAUUGCACAAUGGGCGGAAGCCUGAUGCAACGACGCCGCGUGCGGGAUGACGUCCUUCGGGUUGUAAACCACUUUCGCCUUUAACGAAGCGUGAGUGACGGUAAUGGAUAAAGAAGCACCGGCUAACUACGUG